GACGAACGCUGGCGGCGCGCUUAAAACAUGCAAGUCGAACGAGGUCCAGGGAGCUUGCUCCCGAAGACCUAGUGGCGAACGGGUGAGUAUCACGUGAGGAACCUGCCCCGAAGUCUGGGAUAACACCGGGAAACCGGUGCUAAUACCGGAUACCUUCACCGGAUCGCAUGGUCUGGUGAAGAAAGGUUUACUGCUUCGGGAUGGCCUCGCGGCCUAUCAGCUUGUUGGUGAGGUAACGGCUCACCAAGGCUUCGACGGGUAGCUGGUCUGAGAGGAUGUCCAGCCACACUGGGACUGAGACACGGCCCAGACUCCUACGGGAGGCAGCAGUUAGGAAUCUUGCGCAAUGGGCGAAAGCCUGACGCAGCGACGCCGCGUGCGGGAUGACGGCCUUCGGGUUGUAAACCGCUUUCAGCAGGGACGAAAUUGACGGUACCUGCAGAAGAAGCCCCGGCCAACUACGUGCCAGCCGCCGCCGUAA
rnacentral:rRNA from 1 species